CUCCCCAAGGUGCUCCCAUUGUCUGUGAAUUCCUGAAUCUGCCCUCUGUUGAAUUUUCUGUUUCUGCAUGAGCAUGGAAGGAGCAGAAGUGGAGAAGGGUGGACCUAUUUUGGGAGGCAGCACUGUGCAUGGGAGUGCAGAGCCGCUCAGAUUAGCUUUUCAUCAUGCUGAAGUCCUCAAGGAAAGACCUAGAGGGGUGUUGGGUAUGGUACACCAUGCUCAAAUCACUUGUGAUCAUCUGACUCCUUCUAUAACACAAGCACCCCAAACACAAACUGGAAAAAGAGAGUAAAAGCUUGGUGAUUUUUGAGUU